AGUGAACGCUGGCGGCAGGCCUAACACAUGCAAGUCGAACGGCAGCACAGUAAGAGCUUGCUCUUACGGGUGGCGAGUGGCGGACGGGGGAGGAAAAUAUCGGAAGCUACUUUUUCGUGGGGGAUAACGCAGGGAAACUUACGCCAAUACCGCAUACGACGUACGGGUGAAAGCAGGGGAUCUUCGGACCUUGCGCGAUUGUAGGAGCCGAUGUCGGAUUAGCUAGUUGGCGGGGUAAAGGCCCACCAAGGCGACGAUCCGUAGCUGGUCUGAGAGGAUGAUCAGCCACACUGGAACUGAGACACGGUCCAGACUCCUACGGGAGGCAGCAGUGGGGAAUAUUGGACAAUGGGCGCAAGCCUGAUCCAGCCAUACCGCGUGUGUGAAGAAGGCCUUCGGGUUGUAAAGCCCUUUUGUUGGGAAAGAAAAGCAGCAGGUUAAUACCCCGCUGUUCUGACGGUACCCACAGAAUAAGCACCGGCUAACUUCGUG
rnacentral:rRNA from 1 species